CCCUCACUGCCCGCUCCCGGUCCCCACUGCCCGUGGGGGGGACGCGCUCCCCGCGCUCGGGCGGCUGCUCCAUCCUGCUUGAGUGUCCCGCGGGGCUUCCCGCCGCGCCGCCUCUCCGGGACAUCCCGGGUUUCCUUGCCGUGGCUGCCAUGAGCUGGGAUGAUGUGACAGGGGAGGGAUCGCUUCGUGCCUCCUCCCUCUCAGCUGAGCACCGGCUAGUGCAGGCAAGAGGUCUACAGAGAUGUCCUUGUGGUUUCUGGUGAUAGAUUCAGUGGCAUUUUCAAGGUGAAGGAAUCCAGAUACCAGUAACUAAUGACUGAUCAUUAAAACAUCUGUACACCAAUAAUGCUGUCUGGAGCAAAGAGGGAUCUGUGGCUUCUGAAAGCUGUCCAUCUUUCAGCUGGAGUGGAAAAGUUCAUGCCUUUCAACAAGAAGAGCUUAGGAGAGAUGAGCAAGCAGAAUGCAGUACGUGGAAAAGGAGAACACUAGAAUGCAAUGUAGCUGAAAUAGAAAAGCUCCGAGAGUGAUAAGCUUAAUAGAGAGAAGGAUGGUCUUUGUCCUGAUAUCUGAGGACUUCUCUCAGUGAGGGGAAGUGGGUGUUUGGUUGGGGUUUUCUGGUUUGUUUUGGUGGGGUUUUUUGUUUGGGGUUUUUUCAUUUGGAAAGGAAUAAGACUUCAGAACCAUGAAACUGAAAGCUUCAGUU
rnacentral:lncRNA from 1 species